rnacentral:sRNA from 1 species
CAAGCACCUCGGUAGGUGAGGCGUCUGCAUGGAUACAGGCCACUGACCCCGAACGUCGAGAGACGCCCCGGGUCAGGACAGCUCUUCCCGGACCCAAGGGUUGAGCCCAAGUGGCUUCUGGAACGAGGAGCGAUCGCAAGCGCGGCGAAGCCGGGCGAAGUAGGUCGCGACUAUAGGUGAUGUUCCGGAUACGCCGUGCAGUGCCGAAGCUCCGACGAGAGGGGUGCGGC